GCAGACCACCGGAGAGGAAACAUGUAAGCUGCCCAGCUGAAAAAGACAUGGCCUGCAUACUGAGAAUACAGAAUUGACCACGAUGGCGUCUCCGUUCUCAAACACUUCAGAACGUAACAGAAGGGAGUGUGACCUCAUGCUCAGUAUGUCCAGCUGCACUGACAGAAGCCAGGACUGGACGCUCGGUGCUGAGGUUGACACUUACUGGUAAAAUCUGGAAGAAUUAUUGUGAUUGAUAAGAAACUAUUGAAUCCAGGGGCAUCACAGUCCUGACUCUACCACCCCCACUUUCUAGGGAAAUGGCCUCACUUAUCGUAGAUUGAAUCAUCGAUAUUUUUGUGGUAUGGUGACUAUAAAGUAUAAGCACACACACUUUAUAGCGUCAAUUUUGUCAUUUCGUAUUAAAAAAAAGGCCUGGCCACUGAAGUGACUCAGCGGGUGAA